GUAAUUGAGAAGUGUGAAUUCCUUUGGUCCACCUUUGAGUGUGGUGUUAUCCUCAAUUAGUGUUAUGUGUCUUGGUAUUUGAUACACACCUUCGUGCUAUUCAUUAGUGUAGGUGUAUGUCUCAUUAUCUAUCCUUUUCAUUUAUGCACUUUUCGCUUCUUUUGUGUUGAAUCCGUAUGUUCUUCUACUUCAUCUCCUUUCUUGUAGUUGCUGAU
rnacentral:lncRNA from 1 species